UUGAUCAUGCUAGCACUGGCUACACAUGAAGUGCAUUUUGCAAUUCUUAGAGAGAGAAUAUCAAAAUGGGAGCUGAUCGAGGUUGAUCCGUUGCCAAUUACUCAAUUUGAUAAUAGAUACAAGGGCCGAUGUCGACCUCAUGGGACUGAUUCAUUACCAAAAGGUAUAAUCCGUGAGACCUCCAACUUAGAGAUGCGACCAUUAUGGGGUUUCCCAAAGAAAAAGGGGAACGCGAAAGCUUCGAAUAACUUACUGGCCAUUGCAGUUGGAAUAAAACAAAAAGAAAAUGUGAACCAGAUUGUUGAAAAGGGAAGUGGAUCCGUGUACCAGUGAGCGGAGGAUCCUAUUUCGCACCCAAUAUGUAAGCUAUGUAACUUCCUGACUAUGUUGCACUGAUGAUUCAUUCCAGGAUACACAACACAAUUCAUCCCCACCACAUCAGUAGUAAAAGUAGUUAUUUUAGUUAGGAAAUUAAGAAUAAAAAAUCCCUAAGAGUCAUUGACACAUACAAUGCUUUUUGAAUUUGAUGGUUGAGUUAGAUGGAAUUGGUAUGACUCAACUUCAGUUUUCAGUUACGGGCUGGUAUUUUUUACAGUCUAAACCAUCACUUAGAAAGAGAAUUUCAACUAAAAUGGGUUGCAUGGGAAAUUCACAUGCAACCCAGAUCACAUGGGUCAUGUGUCUAAGCAUAUAAGCCUUGCAUACGAUGGACUCCACCAUGAGUCACCAGUCACAAAAAUCAGGCCAGUCUGCUCAUGAGGGCCGGUCACCUUGUACAAGAAGAAUGGACAGUCUGAUUCAACAUACAAAUGAGUGCCUAUUUGUUGAGUGGACCAGUCUGAUUUUUGCAUCAGGUCAUCUUCAUGGUGGAUCCCACCAUUUACAGCUAGAUGUAUUACACUUGACACAUUGGCAAAUGAGCUUUGUUGCCUCUGAAGCUCACAUGCAACCAAUUGUAUGCAAUCAUACAGGUGUUGUCAACCCCAAGUUGUUUCCAGUAGUAAUGAGUAAGUCGACUAUAUUAUCAUACCAGCUUCGCCCCAAUUUCUGUGAUGCGUGGUCAAAUUUAGCCAGUGCAUAUAUGAGGAAAGGAAGACUUAAUGAGGUAGCCUAGUGUUGUUGCCAGGCUCUUGCAUUGAACCCUCGCUUGGUUGAUGCUCAUAGCAACCUUGGGAAUCUAAUGAAGGCACAAGGCUUAGUACAAGAAGUAAGUCAUAGUGGAUUCGAUACAUUAUUUUCAUUGGAUGUUCUUUAAGACUCGAAGUAGAAUUUGAGAACCAUGAUCC